UACAGGGGGUGCAAACGUUGCUCGGAAUCAUUGGGCGUAAAGCGCACGUAGGCGGUUCGUUAUGUCGGAUGUGAAAGCCCUCGGCUUAACUGAGGAAGUGCAUCCGAAACUGGCGAGCUAGAGUACUAAAGAGGGUCGCGGAAUUCCCGGUGUAGAGGUGAAAUUCGUAGAUAUCGGGAGGAACACCGGUGGCGAAGGCGGCGACCUGGGUAGAUACUGACGCUGAGGUGCGAAAGCGUGGGGAGCAAACAGG
rnacentral:rRNA from 2 species